UCCUCGAUCUGCUGCGGGCAGAUGUAGUGGAUGUGGCUGUCGAAGCCGCCCGCGGUGAGGAUCUUCCCCUCCCCCGCGAUCACUUCGGUGCCCGGCCCGACCACGAUGUCGACGCCCGGCUGGAUGUCCGGGUUGCCGGCCUUGCCGAGCCGGACGAUGCGCCCGCCCUUGAGGCCGACAUCGCAUUUCACGAUGCCCCAAUGGUCGAGGACGACCGCGUUGGUGAUGACGGUGUCGACCGCGCCCGCGGCGUUGGUCACCUGGCUCUGGCCCAUGCCGUCGCGGA
rnacentral:sRNA from 1 species